GGGAUGGCUGAGUUACAGUUAUUUUUUACAACAGAGCUGCUCCGAUGUCAUGGGAAGUCUCCUCAAAGCCCCAGCUCUGGUAAUUAAAUGAAACACAACCAUCCUACACCACAACGGCUGGGCACUCUCCCACGGAAUAUCCAAAGAAGACAGGAAUGAGAAGAAUCAGCCAUCAAUUGCGUUUUAAAAUUUAAAAUUAAAAGAAGUAUUUAUAUUUCAUAUUUCCCUUAAUGCAAAUUUUUGACAUUUUCUAAAUUUCUACUUAUUUUGUAUAAAAAUGAGCUUAUGAUAUAAUAAAUGAUGACUCCCA